rnacentral:rRNA from 1 species
AGUGAACGCUGGCGGUAGGCCUAACACAUGCAAGUCGAACGGCAGCACAGUAAGAGCUUGCUCUUACGGGUGGCGAGUGGCGGACGGGCGAGGAAUACAUCGGAAUCUACUUUUUCGUGGGGGAUAACGUAGGGAAACUUACGCUAAUACCGCAUGCGACCUACGGGUGAAAGCAGGGGAUCUUCGGACCUUGCGCGAUUGAAUGAGCCGAUGUCGGAUUAGCUAGUUGGCGGGGUAAAGGCCCACCAAGGCGACGAUCCGUAGCUGGUCUGAGAGGAUGAUCAGCCACACUGGAACUGAGACACGGUCCAGACUCCUACGGGAGGCAGCAGUGGGGAAUAUUGGACAAUGGGCGCAAGCCUGAUCCAGCCAUACCGCGUGGGUGAAGAAGGCCUUCGGGUUGUAAAGCCCUUUUGUUGGGAAAGAAAAGCAGCAGGUUAAUACCCCGCUGUUCUGACGGUACCCAAAGAAUAAGCACCGGCUAACUUCGUG